rfam:Schistosoma mattheei strain Denwood, Zambia genome assembly, scaffold: SMTD_scaffold0023546
AUCCAACUGACGAGUCACACAUAGGGCGAAACACGCAUCCUGGAU